UGAACAGUUCUCCAAAUUGGUCACAAAUCCUUGGCAUGAGGUUUGGCUCUUCUAGCCUUUAAAAUCUCCCAAAAAAACACUUUAAUGCUUUCACAAACAGAGAAGCUUCUCCACAGGCUUCAACCACUGCUGCAGUGCACUGCUAAGAUUCCUGGCAGGAGGCUCCAGACACUCCAGGGUCCUAAUGUUAUUUUGGAUUCACCACCACCUUAUAUCCGUCCUGUGCAAACAGCUUGUAGCUGCAGGGUCCAGCCCGAGUAAGAAACAUCCGGCACAACCCAUCAAACCUGGAGGGAAUGCAGUGGUGGGCAUGGAGUUUUAUAAACAGGAACACAAACAUUCAAAGACAUCCAUAUCAUGGGCAAAUUUGACAGACUUGUUUAAGCUGUUUUGCAUGCCUAUUAUUUAUCCAUCAGUUUAGUGUGUUUCUUCCAAGAAGCAUAUGGCAACAGUGACCACUGCAGCCACCCAGACCUGUGUGAAAUGCUGCAAAGCACUGACACCUAGUGGGUCUACACUGCCAGUAUUACAUUUCAAAGAACAAUGGGUCCUUUGUGUCAGAGAUUUCUUUUACUGUGGUAAAAUUUAAAAGAGAAAAAUGAGUCAGCACAUAAUGAGUUGUGACCACAGACUAUCCAGCAAAAACACUUUGCAGAGAUGCUGUGAGAAAAUAAAAUCUCAAAAAUCUUGUCUUGAUUUUAGGGCCUCGAAAAUACUUUCUAUUUAUAUUAUUGUUAAUGAGCUCACAUUUAGGAUGAAUCUGUUUUAUUUUCUGAAAUGAGGCUGUAGCCCUUAAAGAAGCAGACAAGAUGCCACUUUAAACAUGCUUUGUUAUGUGUUAAUUCAACCAGGGUUGGCAGAUAUUUCUAUAAUUCUACAAUUUGUUACCUUUAAUGGUUUUAAUUGCACUGAGAUGUUUGGCAAGACUGGAGGCACUUACUUUAGUGCUUUUGGUGUGGCUCACAUAGCAACAGUCACACAACAGUAAUUCCUAAUCUGUCAAAUGUUGAGCUCCAGUCCAAAAAUGUUGUCAUACCAAAGGCUUGCACGCAGCCAUAACUUAACUAAAAACAGACAUCCAGUGGGAGAAAAGGGAAAGAGACAACUACAAAGACUAGAUUCAAAAUUAAUGAACAGAAGAAACACAGCAGUCAUCCUGAAUGUUUUUAGACACCAUCAAACUCACACACACAACCACGCCAUAGGCAUGCACAUGUGUGUGACGCACACACUUUUGCCCAGAAGCGUUUUACAUAAUUCUUUGGCAAGUUUGCCGCAAGGUGCCACUGUUUCCCCAAUUUCUGUGGAAUUUUUUAACAGCAAAAAUGUUUGUCUUAAAGCAUUGUUUUGUUUCCACCAUUCAGUAAGAAUUCGAUAAUGCUACUUUCACUAGUCACAGGGCUGACGUGUUGAGAAAUGUUCAGUCACAUUUGGCAUAUAUAUUCAUCCAGGCUGCAGACAUCAAGAGAUGGGAGAGGAGAGACAGACAGGGAAAGAGAGGGAUGACUUGCAUUUAGAUAAAAUGUAUCUGGAUCAAAUAAAUUUCAACUAUAAGUUUUAUGUUUGUUUGUUGGUCCCUUGCUUCAGGGUAUUUCCUUCACUUACCCCAUUGUCAAUGUCUGUCAUCCUUACUGUAUCUCUAUAAAUGUCCAU